UUGGGCAAGAGCUGUAUGGAUCGAAAAUUAUGAGGAAAUAGAAGAUGUUGUGCCAAGAAGAUAAUAUAAAUGAGCUAAAAGAAUAUGGUUACACAACAGCAGCACAGGAGGAGGAUGAAAUAGAUAAUUGUUUUAAAAGUUCCAAAGGCACAUUUAAAGUCAAAAGUAAUGUUUAUGAGUUACCAGAUUUUCCGUUGCCUCCACCAGUUUUGCAAUCCAUACCAACAAAAUCAUUAAAGAGAUCAUUUGAUUUUAAUUUGUCAC
rnacentral:lncRNA from 1 species